rnacentral:misc_RNA from 1 species
UCCGGUUUGUCACCGGCAGUCUCGCUAAAGUGCCCAACUCAAUGAUGGCAAUUAACGACAAGGGUUGCGCUCGUUGCGGGACUUAACCCAACAUCUCACGACACGAGCUGACGACAGCCAUGCAGCACCUGUGUUCAGGCUCCCUUUCGGGCACAUCCACCUCUCAGCGGACUUCCUGACAUGUCAAGGGUAGGUAAGGUUUUUCGCGUUGCAUCGAAUUAAUCCACAUCAUCCACCGCUUGUGCGGGUCCCCGUCAAUUCCUUUGAGUUUUAACCUUGCGGCCGUACUCCCCAGGCGGUCAACUUCACGCGUUAGCUCCGGUACCAAGGAGUAACCCCCCCGACAACCAGUUGACAUCGUUUAGGGCGUGGACUAC